rnacentral:lncRNA from 1 species
CAGUACUCAAACGCACCAACAGCUGGGCUGCAGCGACCUAUCGGCUGGGCAUAACAAAAACAAAUGCGCCCGGCGCCCUUAAUUAAUUAGUGGUACAUAUCUUGUAUUAUACGUUGAAGGCGCUGGGUAUCAAGCGCUUGUCGAACCUGGAGCACUGCAGAAAGGUCACGAAGAGAAGAAUCCAUAUUCCGAAGCCUUUUUUCGUAUUUCCCCUUCUUGUACAAGUUCCAGCGACGGAUGCUUGAG